GAUAAACGACUGACAGAAUGCUUAACAACAUGUCAAGUCGAACGGUGAUGAGGACUUCGGUCCUCUGAUCAGUGGCGGACGGGUGAGUAACGCGUGAGCAACUUGCCCUGCAUUGGGGGAUAACACAGGGAAACUUGUGCUAAUACCGCAUGAUGUAUACGGAUUGCAUGGUUUGUAUACCAAAGAGAAAUUGAUGCAGGAUGGGCUCGCGUUUGAUUAGGUAGUUGGUGAGGUAACGGCCCACCAAGCCUACGAUCAGUAGCCGAACUGAGAGGUUGAACGGCCACAUUGGAACUGAGAAACGGUCCAG
rnacentral:rRNA from 1 species